rnacentral:misc_RNA from 1 species
UAAUAAGUGUCUUAUGGCACUUUUUAAAUCCAUAUCCACCUUGUGUGCAAUGUCAGUCGAUCUUCUUCAUGGAGAUCGACCAAACAUCAACCUUUAUUUUUUAACUCUUUGUCUGAAAAAUAUUAUGAAUAAACAAUUCAAAAUA